CGUUAUCACCACAACCCUGUUCCAGAUAAUGAGAAAACUUUGAGCUAAAGCUUAUCUAAAAAUAAAACCCAAUCUAUAGACUGCUGCAUUUUUAGCAUAGUUCUGCCUGCUGUUGAGGAGAACGAAGGACGAGAGUGCAGAGGGGUUGUUGCUGAGAAUUUCCUGUGUGCAAGCUGCCUUUAAGGUCUCCAUGGCAACAAUCAUCGAAAAACAAAGAUUUUUCAAAGGUGGUAGAAGAGAAACCACUUCCUGCUCUUCACCUGCAGCUCUCCCUUCAGGCUGCUGUCCUCCGAGUCCGACUGCUGGUCGGGGUCGUUCUCGUCACCCUGGAACACACAGAAGAACCAGGUUAAGUCCCGGCUCGGCGGCGUGCGGGAGGUCACGGAGAGGAAGUCUCGUACGUCUUGAGUCCAGAAGGACACGCCGGUGGAGCGCCGCUUCUCUCGGGGCCGCCUGCGAUCCCGAAUGGAGCGAGGUUGAUACUUGUCCUCUCCGUCCUUCUCGUCCUCCUUCUUGUCUGCUUCUGUCCAAAGAGAAGAAAACGAUCUGAGGAUUUUAAUAAUCAAAUGUGUCCAGGUUGAAGCUGAAAACCUUCAGACUCAACAUUUUGUUGCUGCGAUUUCCUACGUAAUGUUACGUAAUCACCCCACAAAAUUAAUUCAGUAUUGAUGAAAUAAAUAAAUACAUAAAAAACA